rnacentral:rRNA from 1 species
CCUACGGGAGGCUGCAGUAGGGAAUCUUCCUCAAUGGACGCAAGUCUGAUGGAGCAACGCCGCGUGAGUGAUGAAGGGUUUCGGCUCGUAAAGCUCUGUUGGUAGUGAAGAAAGAUAGAGGUAGUAACUGGCCUUUAUUUGACGGUAAUUACUUAGACAGUCAAGGCUAAAUACGUGCCAGCAGCCGCGGUCAUACGUCGGUGGCAAGCGUUGUCUGGUUGUAUUGGGUGUAAAGCGAGUGCAGGCGGUUAAAUAAGUCUGAUGUGAAAGCCUGCGGCUCAACCGGAGAAUUGCAAUAGAAACUGGUGGACUUGAGUGCAGAAGAGGGGAGUGGAACUCCAUGUGUAGCGGUGGAAUGCUUAGAUAUAUGGAAGAACACCAGUGGCGAAGGCGGCUCUCUGGUCUGCAACUGACGCUGAGGCUCGAAAGCAUGGGUAGCGAACAGGAUUAGAUACCCGAGUAGUC